GAAUAAAUAAAUAGGAACGGAAGGGAUUAGGGUUACUUGUGUGACGUAUCAACUUCAAGACUCAAGACUCAGCCCCUUCUCUUUCUCUCGUUCGCGUACCUCACCGGCGACGGUCGUCACCUCCCACCGCUGUCGUUUCACCUCAAAUCAACGUGCUUCAAACACAAACUCAUCCUAAAAUCUUCGACCCUUCCACCAAUUUAACAAAAGGAUCGUACAAAUAUUCGGAUCGAAGAAGGGAAGGAGCGAACCCUGGCUGAAUAUCGGAGGCGGAGAGAUGGAAACCGAAGAGAAGAAUCCGCAUUCUUCGUAUGCGAAAUAAACGCCCUUGAAUGCAAUAGAAAUCUCAGAUGGUGUGAAUUGGUGUUGUUGAUUGAUUGCAGAGAUCGGGGGAGAGAGUUGAAAAUUGGAGCUUGAAGAUUCGAUGAUUGUUGUUGAAGGUUGCUGAUGUUUGAAGGUUGAAGAAUGGAGUUGGGGGCGAAGAGAUGAAGAUGAUGAUUAUUCAGAGAAGAGGGAAGAAGAUGAUGAGUUCAAAGAAGAAUGGUGGAGAGGUGAUUGGAGAAGAUUGAAGAAUGUGAUUUGUGUGGUGAAUGGUGAAGUGAAGAAUGGUUUUGAAGUGUGUGGAGAGUGGAAACAGAGUGGUUGUGGAGAAAUGAUCGAGAGAGCUUGAAUGAAGGUGGAGCAGAGAAUAUAUAGGUUUCAGGGUGAUUGAACACUAACUCAAAUUGGGGCGGACUGCUAAUGAAGUUCGAAACUGUGAGCAAAUACUCGGUUAAUCCCGCUGGACCAGAAUUAUAUGGGCUGCACCAUGAACACUUUAGAGCUACUUCAACUGAGCUUGACAGGAGAGUCCUUUCAAGGCCCUAAAGAACCCCGUGAAGGCAACAUAUCAUGAGGAAACCCUUUGGCUUUGGUCACAUGUGAUUCAAACUUGUUUUCUGUAUAGUCCUCUCAUGUUGUAAUAUAUACUUGGAAUGUACUUUGGCUGUAAUAGCACUAUAGUAUUCUUGAAUUUGAAUUUGCAAUGAUAAUUGUAAUUGGAUGAAUGUAUAGACACUUGACUUUUCCCUCCAUUUACUUGAAUUUUCCCUCCA